GAGACUGAUCUGGGCACACAAACUAUGAGCGCCAUGUAGGAGCCCUGGGGUCAAAGAGGAGCCCUACAUUUUACUUAACCUUUUAGGGAUUUACACCGAAUUCUUCCAACCUUAGAAAUUAUUUGAACAAACUAAAAACUGGGGAAUGAAAGAAUUCUCUCCAUCUCCCAAAGUUCAGAAUCUUUGCUGCAAGCCUUGGGGAGAUCAUCAUUUAUUGAACAAAUACUUAUCAGCACUUGAAAGGACUCCAGGGGAGGACGUCAUGAACUGACACAGAGGUUGUCAGAGGAGAAACGUGAAACGAUAAAGGAAAUACUGAAAGGAAGAGAUUUGGAUGAC